rnacentral:lncRNA from 1 species
CUCAACUUUUCAAUCUCCGCAGCAUUGAGUCCAUCAUAGAUUUACUUGCUUUGUUGGGAGGGGAGGCAGAAGGAGAAAGAAUCCCAAGCAGACUACCCACUGAGUGCGGAGCCCUCCUGGGGCCUGAUCUCACCACGCUGAGAUCAUGACCCUGAGAUCUUGACCCUGAGAUCAUGACCUGAGCCAAAAUCAAG